GGUAUCUUAGCUCAGUUGGUAGUGCAUCUAGUCUUGUAUUUUGCCCGAAUUUGCGCGGGUCGCGAGUUCGAUCCUGUCAGGAAACA